rnacentral:lncRNA from 1 species
CAAGAUAAACCAAAGUAUUUAGCCACAAAACUAAAGAAAAAUAGCAACCAAUUAUGCGGUGUGCAAAAAAUGUUCAAAUCCAAAAGUAUGUUUACAGCCCAGAAAUUACUCCAUGUUUAAACACAGCAUCUAUUUGUGCAAAUCCAAAAAUAUGCUUCAUGUUUAUAAACAGAUAUUAAACACUCCAAAAAACGUUAAUUUCAUUCGGCCUUCAUUCUGCCCGUGCCUUCCUGCUCGUAGACUGCAUGGAUGUGGACGUCAAAGUCUUCACAUUUCUCUUUUUCGUUCCCUUUCUGCCCUCAACAGCGAUGAUUCCACCUCAUCCAUGCUUUGCACUUCAAACUUAUUUGCAUCAGGAGGAACAUUAUGUAUGGUGGCAGCAGGUCCGAACGUAAGGCUUCCAGUGUCUUUGAUACUGUAUCUUUCUUGAUUAAUAAACCCAAUGAAGCAUCCAGAAUUUUGUUUUAUCGAAACUUUCCAUGACUGUUUCUCACAAAAAUAAAAGAGUGAUAAUUAGAAGUGCUUUGAAUCAAAUUAACUAGUUCAACAAAUAAUCCAACAUAUAUAAAUAACAACAUAAAAAAAAUUAGAACGAUAUCUUAAUGAUUCAACAAAAUAACAAGUUUCCCAGAUAAUAUUCUUCAUUAGAUCACGAGUCUCAAAAUUCAUUAUAAUUUCAGUUAGUCAUUUGCUCCAAGUGUAAGAAACAAGACCUUCUAAGUUUCUAAAAACGAAUUGAUCUUGUCCACUCUUACCUUACUAUAAUUAAUGCCACCCAAUCUACUCCAAGACUCAGAAGUUUGUUAAGUUAUUUUCUUUACUGGAUUACAAAAACUAAAUCAGGAGUUAAAUGUUAUGAAAUAAUACUAAUUAACGCAAACAAGAAUGUUAAUAAAAGAAAGCUAGUACAAGAAUGCCCGGAACACUACAUCAAUGUAUAAAUUUCAAAAUCUGAACCAAAUUUACUUGCAUUUCCGACAACCAUGUGCACGCCUUCUCUAAUGCAAUAAAAAAACUUGCAACUCAUUAGUCAGAUUUUGGGAGGCCGCCGAUGGAGGCUUGAAACUGAUUUCGGGGUAGGGUUUGGGUUUGAGACUUUUAGGUUGUGGUUCAUCGUUCUCACGCUUUUGGCUUCUGUAUGAUGGAUUUUGGCUUCAAUUUGAAGAAAGGUUCGAAAUUGAUUUGGGGGGUUAGGGUUUGGCUUCAUGAUUUGGGUUGAAUCUCAUCGUUCUCGCGUUUUCAUUCUGUGUGCAAGUUUUUCUUCCCAACGCGAGUUUAAUAUUAUAUUGAUAAGGGCUCGUUUGGAUGAUUUGGCAUCCACGUGUGCAACUCACUCAAAAUAUGGACAAUUUUAACUGCCAAUUCACUUUUUCGUCAUCCACGUAGGCACAAGUAAAGACGAAAU